GGAACACAAUAAUCCGUCAGGGUCCGGUGGCAAAUACUGCGAAUGGUCGUUGAAGAAGUUUUGCAGUGAAGGGCUUCGUCUGACAACCGGUAUCUGAAAAGCAACAUGUACAACAUUUAAGGGUACAAAUUCAUUUAGUCCAGUUUUACGGGUCCCCCCUCAACCCCCAGGAAUCAAACUAUAGUCUCUGAGCCUGACACCUUGCCAGUGAAAAAGUCCCAGAAGUUGCUCGGUGGUUUGCUGUCGUCUGAUGUCGUGGACGAGGCGUUGGAGCUCUG